GUCUAGGACCAUGCCACCCUGACCAUGCCGAUCCCAUCUGAUCUCGGAAGGUAAGCAAGGUGGGGCCUGGUUAGUAUGUGGAUGGGAGACCACCUAGGAAGACCAGCUGCUGUAGGCG
rnacentral:rRNA from 1 species